rnacentral:rRNA from 1 species
UACGGAGGGUGCGAGCGUUGUCCGGAAUCACUGGGCGUAAAGGGCGCGUAGGCGGCGCGGGCAGUCAACGGUGAAAGCUUGGGGCUCAACCCCGAGUCGGCCGUCGAUACUCCCGUGCUUGAGCACUGUAGAGGCAGGCGGAAUUCCGGGUGUAGCGGUGGAAUGCGUAGAGAUCCGGAAGAACACCGGUGGCGAAGGCGGCCUGCUGGGCAGUUUAGCUGACACUGAGGCGCGACAGCGUGGGGAGCAAACAGG